rnacentral:rRNA from 1 species
UACGGGGGGGGCAAGCGUUGUUCGGAAUUACUGGGCGUAAAGGGCUCGUAGGCGGCCAACUAAGUCGGAUGUGAAAUCCCCAGGCUUAACCUGGGAACUGCAUCCGAUACUGGAUGGCUUGAAUCCGGGAGAGGGAUGCAGAAUUCCAGGUGUAGCGGUGAAAUGCGUAGAGAUCGGGAAGAACAUCGGUGGCGAAAGCGCUCUACUGGACCGCAACUGACACUCAGGGACGAAAGCUAGGGGAGCGAAUGGG